rnacentral:rRNA from 1 species
GGCUCAGAUUGAACGCUGGCGGCAUGCCUUACACAUGCAAGUCGAACGGCAGCACGGGAGCUUGCUCCUGGUGGCGAGUGGCGAACGGGUGAGUAAUACAUCGGAACGUACCCUGAAGGUGGGGGAUAACGUAGCGAAAGUUACGCUAAUACCGCAUAUUCUGUGAGCAGGAAAGAGGGGGAUCGCAAGACCUCUUGCUUUAGGAGCGGCCGAUGUCGGAUUAGCUAGUUGGUGAGGUAAAGGCUCACCAAGGCGACGAUCCGUAGCGGGUCUGAGAGGAUGAUCCGCCACACUGGGACUGAGACACGGCCCAGACUCCUACGGGAGGCAGCAGUGGGGAAUUUUGGACAAUGGGCGCAAGCCUGAUCCAGCCAUGCCGCGUGAGUGAAGAAGGCCUUCGGGUUGUAAAGCUCUUUCGGUGGGGAAGAAAUUGCACAGGAUAAUACCUUGUGUAGAUGACGGUACCCGCAUAAGAAGCACCGGCUAACUACGUG